rnacentral:rRNA from 1 species
UGGGGAAUCUUGCACAAUGGAGGAAACUCUGAUGCAGCGACGCCGCGUGAGUGAUGAAGCCCUUCGGGGUGUAAAGCUCUUUCGACGGGAACGAUAAUGACGGUACCCGAAGAAGAAGCUGCGGCUAACUACGUGCCAGCAGCCGCGGUAAUACGUAGGCAGCGAGCGUUGUUCGGAAUUACUGGGCGUAAAGAGUGUGUAGGCGGUGCUCUAAGUCUGUCGUGAAAUCUCCCGGCUUAACUGGGAGGGUGCGGCGGAUACUAUUGUGCUAGAGGGUGGGAGAGGAAAGCGGAAUUCCUGGUGUAGCGGUGAAAUGCGUAGAUAUCAGGAGGAACACCUGCGGUGUAGACAGCUUUCUGGACCACUUCUGACGCUGAGACACGAAAGCGUGGGUAGCAAACAGG